CAUAUACUCCCUCCGUCCGAAAAUACUUGUCAUCAAAAUGGAUAAAAAGAGAUGUAUCUAGAACUAAAAUACAUCUAGAUACAUCCUCUUUUAUUCAUUUAGAUGACAAGUAUUUCCGGACGGAGGGAGUACAAA
rfam:Triticum aestivum genome assembly, contig: Triticum_aestivum_CS42_TGACv1_scaffold_093484_2AL